UUUCGCAAUGCCCGAAAGGGUGACGAAGCGACGCCGCGUGUGGGAAGAAGGCUCUAGGGUUGUAAACCACUGUCAGGAGUUAAGAAAUGUAAAGGUGUUAAUAGCGCCUUUAUUUGACGAAGGCUCCAGAGGAAGCCACGGCUAACUCUGUGCCAGCAGCCGCGGUAAUACAGAGGUGGCAAGCGUUGUUCGGAAUUAUUGGGCGUAAAGAGCACGUAGGCGGUCCUGCAAGUCUGUUGUGAAAUCCUUCCGCUUAACGGGAGAACGGCAGCUGAUACUACAGGACUAGAGUACGGGGGGGGAGAGUGGAACUUCUGGUGGAGCGGUGAAAUGCGUAGAUAUCAGAAGGAACGCCGGCGGCGAAAGCGAUUCUCUGGCCUAUUACUGACACUCAGUGUGCGAAAGCUAGGGGAGCAAACGGGAUUAGAUACCCCGGUAGUCCUAGCCGUAAACGAUGGGCACUAAGUAGAGGGGUUUUA
rnacentral:rRNA from 1 species